GAAGCGGCAGCGGCCCUGCAGGAAGAAGUGGCAGAUGGCUGCGGCCUCCGCAGGGUUGCCGGGCCUCUCGCUGCUCCUCUGAUUGGUGUUAUUUUUGACAAUUAAGAAUGCUUGACUAGACCCCAAGGAGAACAAAGCAAAAGGAAAAGGACCGUAUGUAGGAAAUGAUGAAGGGUAUGGUUUCAGGAAAACCAGAGGACUGAUACAAAGUAAGGUGAGUAGUACCAGGAGACUAAUCUACAAAGGAACAACAAUAUUGUAAAGAUAAUCACCAAUAAAACAUUUAGUAAUCGGUUGCUGCAAUAAUCCACUACAGCUCCAAAGGAUUUAUGAUGUAAAAUUCUAUCUGCUUUCAAGUGGAGAACUGAUGGACAAAGAGCACAGAUUGAAACUUUUUUUUCUUCACUUAUUUUUCUUUCUUUUCUGGAACAUGGCUAAUGAAGAAAUAUACUUUGCAUGAUUUAUAUGUAUAAUAGCUAUUAUAUUAGAUGCCCUCUCAAUUUAUAUGGGAGAGGAUGGAAGGACAGAAAGA